rnacentral:misc_RNA from 1 species
AAAAUAUUAUAAAAAUAUAUUUGACACUAAUAAUCGACUAAACGCUAAUUAUUCAAUAAUUAAAAAUAAGCUUCUGUUCAUCAAACUCAACUUGACCUUGCUAGUUCUUUUCCGUUCAGCUACCGCGAUUGGAACAUGUCUUAUUCACCUGAAAGAAGAUCAGAAGAUUGGCCGGAGGAUUCAAAGAAUGGGCCAUCUAAGGAACCAGUCAGUUACGAUGGACCUCCGGGCAUGGAGCCCGAAGGAGCGUUGGACACAAAUUGGCAUCAAGUCGUGGAAAGCUUUGAUGACAUGAAUUUGAAGGAAGAGUUAUUACGAGGAAUUUAUGCAUAUGGUUUCGAAAAGCCAUCUGCAAUCCAGCAACGCGCUAUUAUGCCUUGCAUUCAAGGACGCGAUGUUAUAGCUCAGGCCCAGUCUGGAACUGGGAAAACUGCAACUUUCUCCAUUUCAAUUUUGCAACAUAUUGAUACUAGUAUUCGUGAAUGCCAAGCUCUAAUUCUGGCGCCCACCAGAGAGCUUGCUCAGCAGAUUCAAAAGGUGGUAAUAGCUCUUGGUGAUCACUUGAAUGCUAAAUGCCAUGCUUGCAUUGGAGGCACCAAUGUUCGCGAGGAUAUUCGCCAGUUGGAAAGUGGUGUUCACGUGGUGGUGGGUACCCCUGGACGCGUCUACGACAUGAUUACCCGCCGUGCCCUCCGCGCUAACACCAUUAAGCUGUUUGUGCUUGAUGAAGCUGAUGAAAUGUUGUCCCGAGGUUUCAAAGACCAAAUCCAUGAUGUAUUCAAGAUGUUGUCGGCUGAUGUCCAAGUUAUCCUGUUGUCGGCUACCAUGCCUGAUGAUGUCUUGGAAGUGUCGAGAUGCUUCAUGAGAGAGCCAGUUCGUAUUCUUGUGCAGAAAGAGGAGCUUACCCUAGAGGGUAUUAAGCAAUUCUUUAUCUCCAUUGAAAUGGAAGAGUGGAAAUUGGAGACCCUGUGCGACUUGUAUGAUACCCUCUCCAUCGCUCAGGCUGUUAUUUUCUGCAAUACCCGCCGCAAGGUGGACUGGCUGACUGAGUCCAUGCACGAGCGUGACUUCACGGUGUCGGCCAUGCACGGCGACAUGGACCAGCGCGAGCGCGAGGUCAUCAUGCGGCAGUUCCGUACCGGCUCCUCGCGUGUGCUCAUCACCACCGACCUGCUGGCUCGCGGUAUCGACGUGCAGCAAGUCUCCUGCGUCAUCAACUACGAUCUUCCCACCAACCGCGAGAACUACAUCCAUCGAAUUGGACGAGGUGGACGUUUCGGCCGUAAAGGAAUCGCCAUCAACUUUGUUACUGAAUCAGACAAGAGGGCGCUGAAGGACAUCGAGGACUUCUACCACACAACUAUUACGGAAAUGCCCAGCGAUGUGGCCAACCUCAUCUGAGGUGCCACCAAUCCCCGGUUCAUACUUUGUGUCCUGCGUUCUAUUGCGAUAUAUAUAAGGUAUCUGCCAACUGAGCCUGUUAUGAAACGCACUUUGGACACAUCUAUGUGGAAAUAAUAAAUCAAAAUUUCCUCUAUAA